rnacentral:rRNA from 1 species
UUUAAGCAUAUCACUCAGUGGAGGAAGAUCAAGCACCCGCGAUUGCUGCAGUAAAGGCGAUUGAAGUGGCACCAUCCCAAUGGGCACGGCUCAGCCCGAACGAGAUUCCCUUCCUGCACCUGCCUCGGCGGGGACGCAGUCGGCUACUGUGGGUUUCACCAGAUGCUGUGGGCCACGGAACGGGCGGCGGUGCGUGUGGCUGGCCUGUGGCACCAGGAAGCGCCCUGGAAUGGUCCACGACAGAGGGAUACUGUCCCGUACAACCUGAGUGUUGUGCCACGGCCGUCGCUUGCGCUGCUGCCCGGAUCCACGAGUAGAAUGGCUUGGGACUGCAGUUUGAAGUGCGAUGUGUAUCCAUCGCAAGGAGGAAUACCAACAUGGGACCGAUAGCGCACAAGUAGAGUGAUUGAAGGAUGCAAAGGACUUUGCAAAGAGGGUUAAAAGUCCCUGAAGGAGUAGUGCUGUGGCCUUGCCUUGGUGGGUCGGCCCACGACUCCCGCAACCGCACGCACACACCACACACACCGUGUUCCCCCUCCUCCUCCCUUUCGGUGCGGCUCCGGCAUCGCCUCCGGGCGAGAGGGUGCCUCCCGUUUGGGGGUGUGUGUGCGGGGUCCUCCGGUGCUGCUGUUGUUGUUGCGGUGUGGGUUGUGCGCUGUCUGGGCCCCCACCUGGACCGCCGUUUCCCUCUCUCUCUCUCCCUGCUCGCUUGCGUGUUCGGGAGGAGGAGGCGGAGCGGUCGGGACGAGAUCCCAAGCGACCUUGGGCCAGCCCGGUCUCGUACACAGAGCCCACUCCCUCGGCGGGGUGUGGACGUUUCGUGGCGAGUCCCGGUGGCACCCUGCCUGCCAGGGCCUGAGGCUUCGUUGAGAACUCGCAGGGCUGCAGUCCUCACUCAGGAGAUGAUUUUGGAGAAUGGUGGUGGUGUCGCAGUCCCAGUGUGAUGAGUUGUUGGGAAGACAAGGCUCGUUGGAUGGCUGGCCUACCAAAACGGCGGCCCAACCGCCCCUCACCCCGCUUGCUCCGCAGUGGUGUGGUCCGGUGCCCCUCUCGGGGUCGGGCCCCCCCACCUGUGGGAGUCGGUGGGUUUUGGGGUGUGUGGCUGGCGAUGGCCAAAACCGGGCUUGCCCUGUCCUUCCCCCUCGCACCCGCUGUUCUUUCUGCGCGCGCCCCCCUUCGUCCAAGAGGAGACAGACAGAAAGAGGAACUGGAACAAAGUGUGUGCUCUGGACUGGUGCGUCUUCGGGCGUGCCAGUCGCCGUGGCCCGGCCAUGGCUCGGGGUCCGCUGGUGCGUGUGUGGCUGCACCACCCGUUGGUGGCCACGGCGUGCCCUCGCGGACCCCCCGGACGGUGCGCGGUGCAGACGCACGGGGCUUGGUGCUCGCAGGGCUGCCCGCUGCCCGUCUUGAAACACGGACCAAGGAGUCUAUGGAGCUUGCAUGUUCGCUGCUGGACACAUCGUUGGAAAGCGCGAAGGGCAUGGUGAAAGCGACGGGGGGCCCGCCCCCCGAGUCCCCGACGACGGCGGUCCUUCUCCGCCAACCCGCACGGGACACCGGACCCGAAGUCCGUUGGACUGGGUUUUGAGUGCUUGCAAGGUCCAUGGGACCCGAAAGGUGGUGAACUAUACCGUACCACGACGAAGCCGUGGGAAACCGCGGUGGAAGUCGGUCGCUGUUCUGACGUGCAAAUUGUGUAGCCUGAGUGUGGCAUGGGGGUGAAAGGCCAAUCGAACCACCUAGUAGCUGGUUUCCCUCGAAGUUUCCCUCAGGAUAGCUGGGCUCGUCCCUGUGAAUUACAACCCGAGUGGUUACGUCCGGUAAAGCAACGCAUGAGAGGCAAAUCCCGGGGAGGCCUUCCUCCUCGACCUAUCCUCGAACUGUGAAUGGGCGUGGCGAACCCACAGCAAGCAACCUCAGGCACGCUUCUUCACCCAUACGCCCGAGCCAGGUCCCUCAACCGGGCCUGUUCUCAACGGCCUCUGAGCGUGUUCUGUUUGGAUGGAUGGUGUUACGGUGGUGAGACCACCAGAAGGCCACGCACCACACCCAUCGCGGCGUCUCCCCUCCCUGGCCUCGGCUCAGCGCGCUGGGCUCCCCUGCGUGGUCUCGUGCCCUCUCCGGGGGCCUCGGGCACCCUCUGUCUGGACAUCCAAUGAUCCCGGUGUUUCCCUUCCCUGUCUGUGCGGCUGUGGGCGCAACCCCCUUGUGGGGCAGAACUCAGUUCCAAAAUAUCGCCAGCAAACUGUGAUCGGAGAGAAGAGGAGGGGGCCUCUCUCACACACCCAAGCGGGGCCCGGUUUCAUCGCUGGACUCCCCCCUCGCCCCCCGCGCGUGGGCCGAGGUGGGCGGCCGCAUCCGGUCCGACCCCAGUGGAGAUGCGGCUGCUGCGCGCCGGCCCGUGUGGGUCAGGCGACUGCGAUCAAAAGGGACAGCAAUGUGCGCGAUGUUGGGAGGCCCGGUGGUGCCCCCUCCAGUGUCGAGUGACGGUGGGGGAAAGGCAGCGCCCCCUCUAGACCGGAGAGGUCACUGUGGCCGAUCACCAGUGUUAAACGCGGUCGCUGGCUGGAGCUUCGGAAUUUCCCCUGUGCCCGUGUGGAUGGCAUGGCACUCACAACCGGUGGCCCUUUCUGCUCCCAUUGGAUGCGGGCGUGAGCGCCCCUCGCGGGCUUGGCUGCCCGCAGAAGCGGGGGAGAAGGGGGAUCCACGGCGGUGGUGCCAGUCCGUCUCUCGGGACCCGCAAAGACUCCCCUUGGCUGACGCCUGGUGCUCGGUCGCUCUCCGACAGGAUGUGUCCCCAGAAGAAGCAUGGCAUUGGAAGGCAAGGCAGCGCCCAAUGGAAUGUGGGUGAGCAUCCCCCUGUCGACCACUGGCGGUACCGAUGGGGAUCCCGCGCGCAGGGUGCGCCGCAGCGGCAUCGUCCACGGUGGGGCGUGAUCUGAGUGGCGGUCUGUCCCGGCACAUACACAGGCGAGGGGUCGUUUUUGGGUGCCCCCUUCGCUGUGCGAUGGCUCUGAGUUCUCGGCUGCAGCAGCAAGGCAUGGCGCAGAGGAUCGGAAACCAGGGUGACUUUGUUGAGCGGGAGCGGUGGUCCGGACCCUGGAGAGCGCGAGGGGCGCAGGGCGCGUGGCGUGCGCCGGAAAGUGGCAAAGGAGAAGACAAUGGCCGAACGGGGUCUCACGCCCAGCGACAAGGGAGUGUCUGUGUGCGCCUUUUUCUGGCUGGAUGCACGCAACCUGCCAUCUCUCGGGAACAAGUGUGCCUAUGUGGACCAGGAUUGGUAAGCAGUGCUGGUGAUGCGGGAUGCUCCGAGAGUGGACUUACAGUUCUGGAGUGCUGGCUCAUACACAGAUCCCACAAAGGAUGUUGCCUGCUCUGGAUAGCAGGACGGUGGCCAUGAAGGUUGGAACCCGCUGAGGAAUGUGUAACAACUCACCUGCCGAAGUGCGCAGCUCCGAAAAUGGAUGGUGCCCAAGUCAGUGAAGCUGAAUUUGCCUUACAGUCCGCCACCGCUGUGGCAGCAGAGCAGAGCAUCGUUGUGUAGAGAGGACAUGGGAGAUCACUGUGCCUGUCGGGGCCGCCCCCGACUGGAGUGUCUUCUGGCGCAGAUCUUGGUUGCAGUAGCGAGUACUCCAUCGAAGAAAGGGUGGAAACACCCCGCUGUGUGUGCUUGAGGACUGGAGUGGAGCAGGUUUCCGCACCAACAGCCGUUGAAUGCGGGUCAGCCGGCCGUGAGCCAAGUGGCAAUUCAUCCUCGCGAUCAAGGCUGCCUUGGGUGCCGUGGGUGCGCAGGCCGCGGAGAUUGUCUGUGGGGAGGACAAGACGAAAGGGACAGCAGGGGAGGCCCCAGGGGGUUGCGACCCCCACAACAGCAGGCCGCGACUCGGGUGGCGCGGGCCAGAAAAGGGGUCUGGUCUUACCCUCUUCCCUUCCUCCCACCCCCUCUCUCUCCGGGGGCGCGCGCCCAGACGCUCUCUGGCAGGAGUGGCAAACAGUCAAGCGUGUGCAACAUUCUGCUGCAACGGGCACGGGAGGCCCUCUGACAAACAGAGUAGUGAUGGUGGCGACGCCUCGGGAACGGGGCAAGCAGGCUUCAGGGGCGGUGCACCCCUCGAAGAGUUCUCGUUUCCUCCUGAUGCAGACUCAUGUGGGCUAUGAAUUGGCAUUGCAAAUGGUGAUGUAACGCUCUCCGCUCAGCAAGACAGCGCUCUCUUUGCGCUGGUGGUAUUUCUCUGUGGACGAUAUCUCAGCAACAAAAAAGCAAACACUUCUCGUCCCUCUCAACUACGGCGGUCACUGGCUCCACUGAACCGCCUGUGGCGACAUUCGUUGUUCCUGGUCCCUUGCUCUCGUACUGAAUCACCGCAGCCGGUCUCCUCGGCUAUACGCCGCUGGUGCCACGGAUUGAAUGCAGCUAAGGGAAGUCGGCAAACUGGCCAUGUACCUUCGGAAGAUGUGGUGGCUCCAGAGGCCAAGUCAGUGGGUCCCGCCACGGGCGGUGCCCUGUGUGCGGUAAUUCCAACGUUGAGAAUGUGCUUCUUGUGUGUGCUUGGUGUGCGAGUGCUCGCAGUUCGGGGUGCCGUUUGCGAGGGCCUUCGCGGCUUCUCUCUCCCAGUGGUGGGGGGCCGGGUGCGUCUCCGGGCGUGCUCGCGCCCAUCCCAGUGUCUAUGCAGUGGCCCAGAUGGAACUGAUGCUGUGCUGGGGAAUCUGACUGUUUAAUUGAAACCCAGCUUUGUGACGGGUCCAGCUUGCUGGUCCCAUGAGGUGACUUCUGCCCAGUGCUCUGAUUGUCACGCCGAAGACAUUCCGCCAAGCGCGGGUAAACGGCGGGAGUAACUAUGACUCUCUUAAGGUAGCCAAAUGCCUCGUCAACCAAUUAUUGACGCGCAUGAAUGGAUCAACGAGAUUCCUGCUGUCCCUAGUUGCUGUCCGGUGAACCAACAGCCAAGGGAACGGGCUUGGGCGUGUCAGCGGGGAAAGAAGA